rnacentral:misc_RNA from 1 species
CAAAAACACAAGUGAAUAGAUUUUGAGCUGGGUCAAGUAUCAAAAGCCACACCUAUUAUGAUUUUAUGCUACUAACAGGGCACUAAAUCCAUAGAGCUCCAGCGUCAAUAAGCAAAGGGAUGAGCUGGUUCUGUACGUGGAGGCUCAUCACCUGCCUUUCACCACCAAUCAAUUUUUGCCCUAUGAACACAGCUGGUACACUUGGUUGACACCCCUGCUGCACCAGUGCCCUUUCAAUUUGCUGCCCAUUUGGGAUUCUGUCAAGCUCGUAAACUGUUGGAUUGGCUCCAAAUCCACAUAUGAGUGCCUUAAUGGAGUGGCUCAUGCAACAAGAACUCUUGCUGAAAAUCACUACUGGCUUUUCCUUAACCAACCUAUUCACAGUAUCCAUUGCUACAAAUUAAGUGUAGGAAUUGGCAGUGUUAGUAUGCUAUAUUGAUAGGGG